UACGGAGGGUGCAAACGUUGCUCGGAAUCAUUGGGCGUAAAGCGCACGUAGGCGGCCUGAUAAGUCGGGUGUGAAAGCCCUGGGCUCAACCCAGGAAGUGCACUCGAAACUGUCAGGCUUGAAUAUGGAAGAGGGUCGCGGAAUUCCCGGUGUAGAGGUGAAAUUCGUAGAUAUCAGGAGGAACACCAGUGGCGAAGGCGGCGACCUGGGCCAAUAUUGACGCUGAGGUGCGAAAGCGUGGGGAGCAAACAGG
rnacentral:rRNA from 1 species